rnacentral:rRNA from 1 species
GCGUGCGCAGUUCGCGUAGCAAUACGUGGAUGGGCGCACGGCGCACGGGUGCGUAACACGUGGGCAAUCUGCCCUCCGAUGGGGAAUAACCCCGCGAAAGCGGGGCUAAUACCGCAUAACAUUCCUUUGGCUACGGCCGAGGGAUUCAAAGCAGCAAUGCGUCGGAGGAGGAGCCCGCGCCCGAUUAGUUAGUUGGUGAGGUAACGGCUCACCAAGACAAUGAUCGGUAGCUGGUCUGAGAGGAUGGCCAGCCACACUGGAACUGAGACACGGUCCAGACUCCUACGGGAGGCAGCAGUGGGGAAUCUUGCGCAAUGGGCGAAAGCCUGACGCAGCGACGCCGCGUGGGGGAUGAAGGCCUUAGGGUUGCAAAGCUCUUUCGCCCGCGACGAUGAUGACGGUAGCGGGAGAAGAAGCCCCGGCUAACUUCGUG